rnacentral:rRNA from 1 species
GCACAAGCGGUGGAUUAUGUGGAUUAAUUCGAUGCAACGCGAAAACCUUACCUACCCUUGACAUGCUAGGAACUUGCCAGAGAUGGCUUGGUGCCCGAAAGGGAACCUAGACACAGGUGCUGCAUGGCUGUCGUCAGCUCGUGUCGUGAGAUGUUGGGUUAAGUCCCGCAACGAGCGCAACCCUUGUCAUUAAUUGCCAUCAUUCAGUUGGGCACUUUAAUGAGACUGCCGGUGACAAACCGGAGGAAGGUGGGGAUGACGUCAAGUCCUCAUGGCCCUUAUGGGUAGGGCUUCACACGUAAUACAAUGGUCGGUACAGGGGGUUGCCAACCCGCGAGGGGGAGCCAAUCCCAGAAAACCGAUCGUAGUCCGGAUUGCAGUCUGCAACUCGACUGCAUGAAGUCGGAAUCGCUAGUAAUCGCGGAUCAGCAUGUCGCGGUGAAUACGUUCCCGGGCCUU